rnacentral:rRNA from 1 species
UGACCCGUCUUGAAACACGGACCAAGGAGUCUAGCGUGUGCGCGAGUCAUUGGGAAUUACUAAACCUAAAGGCGAAAUGAAAGUAAACGUCCGCUCCUUGCGGACCGAGGGAAGAUGGCCGGUCCUAGGACCGACCCGCAUUCCCGGGGCGUCUCGUUCUCAUUGCGAGAUGAGGCGCACCAAGAGCGUACACGCUGGGACCCGAAAGAUGGUGAACUA